AUAUUAGCAAUUUUUACUCUUUACUUGACACAAGUAAACAAGUAAAUGUAUGUUUUACUCCAAUACUUGCAUUACAUUUUGCAUGGCACUUAAUAUUUCUGCAGCAGUUUCUGCUAUAAAGAAGGCAUUGUAGGUACUAUGUCUUGUAUGUUUGCCUUUACUCACCCAAACUUGCCAACAAGGCUACUUUACAUAAAUGCAAGCGCAUUAGCAGUUAGUUGUGAAUCACAGGUGUUUGAUUUGGGAGACGAGGCAGAUAAGAUAUCUGUACUUUAAUUCAAGCAUGGUUUUCAGGUACUCUUUACACCUCAGGGGCCCGUUCUUCGUACGUCGUUUAUUACAUCUGAGAUCAAAUGACACAUCCAAGAUGAUAUCAUCGUGCUAAUCAUGAUCCGGCUAAUUGGGUUCUUCGAACACACCUGUUGUGUAUGAUUAGUAUCGCUGGAUUGAGUUAUCUGAGAUAAUUGCGCGUUCAUGUGUUGGCUUAAAAGGGGUAUGUAUCGAUAGUAGAAACAUUGAUCAGCAAUGCUGCUAUUGGCUGUUCAGCAUGGCCAAAGAACGUGCCCAAUUUUUCUCCCAAGCAGAACAAGAGCUUUUAAUGGAAGGUUAUGCCGAAUUUGAGUCGUUAAUUAAAACGACAGGGAACACCUCAAAGUCUGCAAAAGCCAGGAGAGAGGGCUGGCAAAAAGUAGCAGACAAAUUAAAUGCGUAAGUGCUGUCCAUAGUAGAUGUUUCUAUCAUUUUCUACAGUAUGUGUUUUUGCAUUUUAAUAAUUUAAUAUUUACUUUCUUUAAUGUCAGAGCCACCACUGGACCCACUAGAACAUGGGAACAAGUAAAAGUGAAAUACAAGAAUAUUCUACAAAAUGGUAGCCUUUCAUUCAUACUGUCUUUAUUUUAAAAAGCCACUUUUUUUUCCUUCUUUUUAAAAGCCACUGUUAAAUGAUGUGUUUGUCUAUUUAUAACAGCCACCAAGAAAAAGGCUGAAAAAAAAAAAAACAGGUGGUGGUCCUGCACCACCACAAUAUACCCCAGCAGAGGAGCUGGCCCUUGGAUUGAAUGAAAACCGAACCAUUGUGGAGGGCAUCCCUGGGGGCAGCUCUUCCUCAGACCCAAAGACAGGGACCAGUACCAGCAACACCUUCAUUACUGUUUUACAUAAUACACCAACACUUUUACCUGUUCCCAUGCAAGUGGUGGCUGAAGCAUAUGCAGACAGUGAAGAAACCCUCUCAGAAGACUGUCCUUUGGAGGAAGAACCUGUAAGUGCAUAAAUACCUUUACACUAAUUUGUAUAUAGCCUACUUGUGUACCUAUUCUUUCUGUCUGCAAUUUGAGUUGCAG